rnacentral:lncRNA from 1 species
GGAAAAUGGCAGCUUCAGGGAUCUGAGGGAAUCCAGGGCUGAGCCAGGAAGGUAUAUGAGUGCACUGUCGCUGUCUUCAGACACACCAGAAGAGGGCAUCGGAUCCCGUUACAGAUGGCUGUGAGCCACCAUGUGGUUGCUGGGAAUUGAACUCAGGACCUCUGGAAGAGCAGCCAGUGCUGUUAAGCACUGAGCCAUCUCUCCAUCCCUGUAGUAAAAACAUUUACCUAGUUUCAUUGGUUGUUUUGUUGUUGUUGCUUUGUCUAGAUGUAUAAAUGUUAGUGGAACUAGAAAAGCUGGUUCGAAAGCAGCCAUGAAGGCUGAAAAGGAAGCUCGAGGCAAGCCCAGAUCUAUCAGACAGGUGGAAAGCCUCCAUCUGUAAAAGCAUGUGAAUGGGCUAAUUAGCCGAAUGGAAGAAUUUUGUUACUUGAAGAAGGGUUAUUCUAGAAGUCAUUUGAAAAUGGCUGGACAACCAUCAGACAAGGCAAAAAGUUU